GGAGCCCCGCCGCCAUCGCGCUCCUGCCCGGCUCCCGCCCUCUCCUCCGCCGGACGCCUGCGCAUGCGCCGAGCAAUCAAGAACUACGUCUCCCGGCGCGCCCUGCGCUCUCUUGGCGGCACGUGACUCUGGGCGGGCGGGGCCGUGCAGCGCUGUCUUCCGUCGGGAGGCGUGCGCAUGCGCCUCCGUGAGGUGAGGCCUUUAAAUACAUCUCUUCCGCCCUCCGUCUCCCGUCGUCCUCUUCGUGAGUGGGCGGGGCCAUGCCUGGCGCGGGCUGGCGGCAGCACGUGCGCGCGGAGCUGGAGCGGCGGGAGCGGCGCGCGCGGGGCCUGCGGCUGCUGCUGGAGCGACGUGAGAGGCCGGGGAAACUCCCCGCCACCGGACUGACUGCGGGGCGGGGGGGGGCUGGGCGGGGGUCCCCUCGGGGUGGCAGCUCCUCCCUUCGCCCUGCUGCCCGCAUCUCCCGCCCUCCAGCCGCGUUGGAGGCCCCGAGUUCGGCCUUCCUUCCUCUCUCCCUUUCUCCACGGCACUCAUAGCUCCAUCAGCUUCCACCAGGCCUGCCUCUUCCUCGCCUUUUCUCUUGGCAAAUCAGCCCGCCCCCUGGACCACUUCAGCCCCCCCCCGUGACCCCCACAUGAAGGGCAGCACAGAACGCUAAGACAUCAGAACAGUAACUUUGGCGGCCCUUUUCCGACUUGGCAAUAGCCAUUUUCAGAUGAAAAGCUGUAUGACCGCCUGGAUGCUCUGCAGACCCUGCUGGAGGAGGAAGGAGGGGCAGUGGCCGUGCCAGUGGGGUCCUGCCGGUUUCGAAUCCUUCCUGUAAGUUUAUCUAAUUCUGCCUAGUCCACCUCUUCUGGCUUUUUCCAGGCGCCCCCAGGAAGUGGCCUCCGUCCGGGUGCAGCAGGAGAUGGAGCUGAUUGAAC